rnacentral:rRNA from 1 species
GACGAACGCUGGCGGCGUGCUUAACACAUGCAAGUCGAACGGAAAGGCCCUGCUUUUGUGGGGUGCUCGAGUGGCGAACGGGUGAGUAACACGUGAGUAACCUGCCCUUGACUUUGUGAUAACUUCAGGAAACUGGGGCUAAUACCGGAUAGGAGCCCCUGCUGCAUGGUGGGGGUUGGAAAGUUUCGGCGGUUGGGGAUGGACUCGCGGCUUAUCAGCUGGUUGGUGGGGUAGUGGCUUACCAAGGCUUUGACGGGUAGCCGGCCUGAGAGGGUGACCGGCCACAUUGGGACUGAGAUAGGGCCCAGACUCCUACGGGAGGCAGCAGUGGGGAAUAUUGCACAAUGGGCGGAAGCCUGAUGCAGCAACGCCGCGUGCGGGAUGACGGCCUUCGGGUUGUAAACCGCUUUCGCCUGUGACGAAGCGUGAGUGACGGUAAUGGGUAAAGAAGCACCGGCUAACUACGUG